GAUGAACGCUGGCGGCGUGCUUAACACAUGCAAGUCGAGCGAGAAAAGUUCUUCGGAGCUUUUCUAGCGGCGGACGGGUGAGUAACACGUGGGCAACCUGCCUCAUAGAGGGGAAUAGCCUUCCGAAAGGAAGAUUAAUACCGCAUAACAUUGUUGAAAGGCAUCUUUUAACAAUCAAAGGAAUAAUCCGCUAUGAGAUGGGCCCGCGGCGCAUUAGCUAGUUGGUGAGGUAACGGCUCACCAAGGCGACGAUGCGUAGCCGACCUGAGAGGGUGAUCGGCCACAUUUGAACUGAGACACGGUCCAGACUCCUACGGGAGGCAGCAGUGGGGAAUAUUGCACAAUGGGGGAAACCUUGAUGCAGCAACGCCGCGUGAGUGAUGAAGGUCUUCGGAUUGUAAAGCUCUGUCUUUAGGGACGAUAAUGACGGUACCUAAGGAGGAAGCCACGGCUAACUACGUGCCAGCCGCCGCGGUAACAC
rnacentral:rRNA from 1 species